AUGUCGAUCUUCGAGUACAACGGCUCCGCGGUGGUGGCGAUGGUGGGGAAGAACUGCUUCGCCAUCGCCAGCGACCGCCGCCUCGGCGUGCAGCUGCAGACCGUCGCCACCGACUUCCAGCGGGUCUUCAAGAUCCACGGCAAGCUCUACAUCGGCCUCUCCGGCCUCGCCUCCGACGCCCAGACGCUGUACCAGCGGCUCGUGUUCAAGCACAAGCUGUACCAGCUGCGGGAGGAGCGCGACAUGAAGCCCGAGACCUUCGCCAGCCUCGUCUCCUCCAUGCUCUACGAGAAGAGAUUUGGGCCGUACUUCUGCCAGCCAAUUAUUGCUGGACUUGGACAGGACGACGAGCCAUUUAUUUGUACCAUGGACUGCAUUGGUGCAAAGGAACUUGCUAAGGAUUUUGUUGUCUCAGGGACAGCAUCAGAGUCCCUAUAUGGUGCUUGUGAAUCCAUGUACAAACCCAACAUGGAACCCGAGGAACUCUUCGAGACCAUAUCACAAGCCCUGUUGUCUUCAGUUGAUCGCGAUUGCCUCAGUGGGUGGGGAGGCUAUGUUCUAAUUGUGACACCGACCGAAGUUCAAGAGCGGGUGCUCAAGGGCAGGAUGGACUAG
rnacentral:rRNA from 1 species